GUUGUAUUAAAUCUAAGUGUUUUUUAAUUUUUAAUUUUUAUUGUUUAGAUUUGUCUGUGCAACUCCUAAUUCUCUUCAUCUUAGGAUACAUAAAGUAUUUCAAAAAAGAGCAACUACUUCCUCACUUGCUAUAUCUACUAUUUCUACUCAGAAAAAUAAACAAAUUGAAGUUGAUCUUUGGAUAAAAGACAAUAUUGGCAGGAAAUUUUCUAACAUAUCAUCUUUAGAUAUUCAUUGGAAAUUAUCUGAUUACACACUUGCAAAGCUUGAAAAUCACAGGGAUGUUAUAAAUGAAAUUAAUGGUGCUCACGGAUACAAGAAAAUUACCAGAAGUUAUCAGAUAUUGAAUUUAACUGGAAAAGAAGGGGUAUUAAAGAUCACAGCAAAUGUUAAAGGUUAUCAAAAGCAAAUACUUAAAAAUUUUAGUAUUGAAGAAAGAAAUAUAACACCAAUCAUUGAAAGCAUUGAAUUAAAAUUAGUGAAGUCUGACAAUCUCCAAUUAGAUAAUCAAGAGGAAUCUUGCACUAAAGACAAUUGUCCUAAAUUAAUAACUUAUCAUAUUUUAUAUUUUUAGAUAAUCAAUAAGAACAAUUUUUGUUAUGAAAUGUUGUUAUAAUAAAAGAAGAAUAAAUUGAAGUUAAUUUUCUGAAUGCUCAUAAUUAUAAAUUGUUUUAAAAAUAUAUUUGUAAUGGAAAUUUUUUAAACAUUUUUCUAUCGUUUGUGCUAUGCACUUUUCCCAAAGACAGACUUAUCAUAGUGGAUCAAACA